rnacentral:misc_RNA from 1 species
GAUGAAGAACGUAGCGAAAUGCGAUACUUGGUGUGAAUUGCAGAAUCCCGUGAACCAUCGAGUCUUUGAACGCAAGUUGCGCCCGAAGCCAUCAGGUUGAGGGCACGUCUGCCUGGGCGUCACAUAUCGUUGCUCGAUGCCUAUCGCAUUGCGAUAGGACUUAGGGCGAAUGAUGGCUUCCCGUGAGCGUUGUUGCCUUGCGGUUGGUUGAAUAUCGAGUCCUUGGUAGGGUGUGCCAUGAUAGAUGGUGGUCGAGUUAGCACGUGACCGAUCAUGUGCAUGCUCCCCAAAAUAUGGCCUCUGUGACCCACACGCGUCUUUUGACGCUCAUGACGAGACCUCAGGUCAGGCGGGGCUACCCGCUGAAUUUAAGCAUAUCAAUAAGCGGAGGA